CCGGACCCCAGAUCAAACCCACCAUGCUGUAUGGCAACUCUGUCAAUUACCCCAGCAGAAGGAAGAGCAGUCCCUGGCUCCCAACCUCCGCAGGAUCCUGGGCUGCCCUUCACUCAUUGUGAUAUUACUGAGCUGGAAGGGGGGGUCAGUGGCAAUUUUUGGACACAAAACAAAAUGGUUAUGGGAUAUGAACCAUUCCUAAGCUGGUGAGGGAAAAGAGAGGGGAAAAGAGAAGUAAAUAAGGCAAAAAUGUCUUCAGCAAGCAGAACUGCUAUGUGAGAUGUGGGCUACAGUAUAAGUGCCAGUAGUAGAGCGGCUAUGUUUCAUGCUGUAUAUAUAUCUAAUCAGAACUAAAACCAAUUAUGUUUAUGUGCUUAUGAACAUAGAAAGUCUUGGGUUGGAAGGGACCUUGAAGAUCAUCCAGUUCCAAUGCCCUGCCAUGGACAGGGAACGCUCCAUUAGAGCAGGUUGCUCAGAGUCCCAUCCCACCCAACUUAAGAGACACAAGAAGAAAUGGGUCAAAGAAGCCCCUUUACCAACUCCAAGGGGCUGGCCAAAGGGAUUGAAUUGAAUCACAUGAAAGAAGUUUGCAAGAAACCCACUACACCUAAAAGGCAACUUCAGACAUAGACACCAUCUAGCAUUUGCACACCGGCUAUUUAAAUCAAGGCUCUCCAAACUUAAAACAGGACUUUAAACAGGACUGAAAAAAAGUUUAAAAUGGACUGAGAUUCCCAUUGUUGGAAAUUAUAUAAAGUUUAACAUUUUUAAUGUAACUUGAGUCAGUUUUGUUUGCCUUUGCUCAGAGGGAAGGGAAUUGAAGUUUCUUUUCAGGGGACUUUUCCACCAGGUGAGGUCUGAUGAGUUUAACACCUGGACAAACUAGGAGUAGUGCAGAAGAUACACAGAAGACAGCAACCAUGAAUGAUCAUAGCUCUGAAAAACACCCCUGGCAUGGUCUGAGAUGUGUGGUCAGGGAAAAGACAGAUAAGAAUGAGAAUCUAAGCAGCACCGGAAGCAAAGAAAUCCAUAUCCAAUAGAAAAUCAAAUACUAAGAACUUGGGACAAAUGGACAUUGAACCAAUAAAUUUUUAUGGGGUUUGACGGUAUAAAACAUGAAAAAUCUAGCAAAAUUCAUGUGUGAUGGAGUGAUUUUCUCUGCACAGCCCUG